rnacentral:misc_RNA from 1 species
GAAAUGCGAUAAUUAAUGUGAAUUGCAGAAUUCAGUGAAUCAUCGAGUCUUUGAACGCACAUUGCGCCCCCUGGUAUUCCGGGGGGCAUGCCUGUCCGAGCGUCAUUGCUGCCCUCAAGCACGGCUUGUGUGUUGGGCUUCCGUCCCUGGCAACGGGGACGGGCCCAAAAGGCAGUGGCGGCACCAUGUCUGGUCCUCGAGCGUAUGGGGCUUUGUCACCCGCUCCCGUAGGUCCAGCUGGCAGCUAGCCUCGCAACCAAUCUUUUUAACCAGGUUGACCUCGGAUCAGGUAGGGAUACCCGCUGAACUUAA